GACGAACGCUGGUGGCGUGCUUAACACAUGCAAGUCGAACGGUAAGGCCCUUCGGGGUACACGAGUGGCGAACGGGUGAGUAACACGUGGGUGAUCUGCCCUGCACUUCGGGAUAAGACUGGGAAACUGGGUCUAAUACCGGAUAGGACCACUGCCUGCAUGGGUGGUGGUGGAAAGCUUUUGCGGUGUGGGAUGGGCCCGCGGCCUAUCAGCUUGUUGGUGGGGUGACGGCCUACCGAGGCGACGACGGGUAGCCGGCCUGAGAGGGUGACCGGCCACACUGGGACUGAGAUACGGCCCAGACUCCUACGGGAGGCAGCAGUGGGGAAUAUUGCACAAUGGGCGCAAGCCUGAUGCAGCGACGCCGCGUGAGGGAUGACGGCCUUCGGGUUGUAAACCUCUUUCAGCACCGACGAAGCGCAAGUGACGGUAGGUGCAGAAGAAGGACCGGCCAACUACGUGCCAGCAGCCGCAGUAA
rnacentral:rRNA from 1 species